GACGAACGCUGGCGGCGUGCUUAACACAUGCAAGUCGUACGGUAAGGCCCUUUCGGGGGUACACGAGUGGCGAACGGGUGAGUAACACGUGAGUAACCUGCCCACAACUUUGGGAUAACGCUAGGAAACUGGUGCUAAUACUGGAUAUGUGCUCCUGCUGCAUGGUGGGGGUUGGAAAGCUCCGGCGGUUGUGGAUGGACUCGCGGCCUAUCAGCUUGUUGGUGGGGUAGUGGCCUACCAAGGCGGCGACGGGUAGCCGGCCUGAGAGGGUGACCGGCCACAUUGGGACUGAGAUACGGCCCAGACUCCUACGGGAGGCAGCAGUGGGGAAUAUUGCACAAGGGGCGCAAGCCGGAUGCAGCAACGCCGCGUGCGGGAGGACGGCCUUCGGGUUGGAAACCGCUUUCAGCAGGGACGAAGCUUUUUGUGACGGUACCUGCAGAAGAAGCACCGGCUAACUACGUG
rnacentral:rRNA from 1 species